AAUGAACGCUGGCGGCAGGCCUAACACAUGCAAGUCGAGCGGAUGAAGGGGGCUUGCUCCUGGAUUCAGCGGCGGACGGGUGUGUAAUGCCUAGGAAUCUGCCUGGUAGUGGGGGAUAACGUCCGCAAACGGGCGCUAAUACCGCAUACGUCCUGAGACCGAAAGUGGGGGAUCUUCGGACCUCACGCUCUCAGCUGAGCCUAGGUCGGAUUAGCUAGUUGGUGGGGUAAAGGCCUCCCAAGGCGACGAUCCGUAACUGGUAUGAGAGCAUGAUGAGUCACACUGGAACUGAGACCUGGUCCACACGCCUAGAGGAGGCAGCAGCCGGGAAUCUUGGACCAUGGGCGAAAGCCUGAUCCAGCGAUGCCGCGUGAGUGAUGAAGGUCUUCGGAGUGGAGAGCACUUUAAGUUGGGAGGAAGGGCAGUAAGUUAAUCCCUGGCUGUUUUGACGUUACCAACAGAAGAAGCACCGGCUAACUUCGUG
rnacentral:rRNA from 1 species